GUUGCUUGUAACUACUUUGAGGCCAUGACGACUUCUAUAUCUUGUAUCUAAUAUUAGUACACGAGACGGCAUCGACCGCAGACGCACACAAACAACACGUAGGUUCUCCCAAAACCGACCUGGGGUCAAACCAAGACUGAAACCUGACCCUCUGACCAUAUUCACUGCCAAAUCGCCAUUUAUAGCGCAAGUAUUACAACACAGCACACAAAUAGAUGCUGACUUAAAUAGACCUGAGAAGAGAUAUUAAAACUGACAAGCAAGAGUCGUCAGCUUGUGUUGUGACCAACUCACCCACAGACGUUCGCCAAUCAGGGAGACUGAAACUGAUGACCCGGAAGUGAUAACAGAUGCGAACAGACGGGUGAGAGGCAGUUUUCCCGCGGGAAUGUCAGACGACAGUUUCCUGGCGGACCGUCGUGACAGAAACCCAGGUGUAGCGACGAAAUCUCUCCGGAAAAUGUGAAUAAAUCUACAAUAUCUGAAACAUCAA